UUCAUACAAUCAUAGUAUUCUCCUUAAAUUCCUCCAACAUAUGGUGACUCAGGAUAAUAACAAAUCAUCCGCUAUUGUAACUAAUCAUACCAGAAUCUUUGAUUAGCUGGUUAACUAAGUUUUAAUUGAACAAACUCCUGGACUGGGCUAUCAGAAGCUGUAAUGUUGGGCCUGUAACACAAGACUCGAAGCACAAGUUUAGCAAUCAUCAAAUCUGAACGCAAAAACACGAACUCAAACCCAGAAACAAAAUACAAAAGAAAGACUCGAAGCACAUGUCAGCAAUCAUCAAAUCUGAACGCAACGCACAAUUAACUACAACAACCAAGACAAAUAGAAACAACAACAAUCCACAUAGGGAUACACAACACAAAAAAUAGCAAUUCAAUAAAAAAAUCGUCAGUAAACAUUCUUUUAGGAUUUUAUGGGAGUUUUGUGUUUUUCUAUUAAGGUUCGAAAUUGGAAAGAGUUGGGAGGUUUUUUCUUUUUUUUUGGGAGUGCUGACAGCUAAAGACAGAGGAAAUAAGUGGCAGUACGUCUGAAUUUUCAAACUUAGACUUGGGUGAUUCUAGAACGUUAUAGAAAAUUAUAAACCGUACUGAAUGAAGGGGAGGAGAGAAAUUGGAAAAAAGUAUAUUCUGUGAAUUUUGGUCACUAACGAUGGUGAAAACCAACGACGAACAAUGGAGGCCGCGAUAGUUUGAUGCUGGAUUUUGGAAAAGUGGCUACUGCUUAAAGUUUGAGAGAAAGGGUUGAAGAAAAU
rnacentral:lncRNA from 1 species